rnacentral:hammerhead_ribozyme from 1 species
GUACUGCUGAAGAGUCCCAAAAUAGGACGGAAGAGCUGUCCAGGAC